rnacentral:rRNA from 1 species
GUCCACGCCGUAAACGAUGGGCACUAGGUGUGGGAGGUGUCGACUCCUCCCGUGCCGUAGCUAACGCAUUAAGUGCCCCGCCUGGGGAGUACGGCCGCAAGGCUAAAACUCAAAGGAAUUGACGGGGGCCCGCACAAGCAGCGGAGCAUGUGGUUUAAUUCGACGCAACGCGAAGAACCUUACCUGGGCUUGACAUGUCGGUAGUACCUGUGGAAACACAGGGUCAGUUCGGCUGGACCGUCACAGGUGGUGCAUGGCUGUCGU